AGGACGAACGCUGGCGGCGUGCUUAACACAUGCAAGUCGAGCGGUAAGGCCCUUUCGGGGGUACACGAGCGGCGAACGGGUGAGUAACACGUGGGUGACCUGCCCUUAGCUCUGGGAUAAGCCUGGGAAACUGGGUCUAAUACCGGAUAUGACCUCGCGAUGCAUGUCGUGGGGUGGAAAGCCUUGUGCGGCUAGGGAUGGGCCCGCGGCCUAUCAGCUUGUUGGUGGGGUGAUGGCCUACCAAGGCGACGACGGGUAGCCGGCCUGAGAGGGCGACCGGCCACACUGGGACUGAGACACGGCCCAGACUCCUACGGGAGGCAGCAGUGGGGAAUCUUGCGCAAUGGGCGAAAGCCUGACGCAGCGACGCCGCGUGAGGGAUGACGGCCUUCGGUUGUAAACCUCUUUCAGCCCUGACGAAGCGAAAGUGACGGUAGGGCGAGAAGAAGCACCGGCCAACUACGCGCCAGCAGCCGCGGUAA
rnacentral:rRNA from 1 species